rnacentral:rRNA from 1 species
GGGGAAUAUUGGACAAUGGGGGCAACCCUGAUCCAGCAAUGCCGCGUGUGUGAAGAAGGUUUUCGGAUUGUAAAGCACUUUCGACGGGGACGAUGAUGACGGUACCCGUAGAAGAAGCCCCGGCUAACUUCGUGCCAGCAGCCGCGGUAAUACGAAGGGGGCUAGCGUUGCUCGGAAUGACUGGGCGUAAAGGGCGUGUAGGCGGUUUGUACAGUCAGAUGUGAAAUCCCCGGGCUUAACCUGGGAGCUGCAUUUGAUACGUGCAGACUAGAGUGUGAGAGAGGGUUGUGGAAUUCCCAGUGUAGAGGUGAAAUUCGUAGAUAUUGGGAAGAACACCGGUGGCGAAGGCGGCAACCUGGCUCAUAACUGACGCUGAGGCGCGAAAGCGUGGGGAGCAAACAGGAUUAGAUACCCUGGUAGUCCACGCUGUAAACGAUGUGUGCUAGAUGUUGGGUAACUUAGUUAUUCAGUGUCGCAGUUAACGCGUUAAGCACACCGCCUGGGGAGUACGGC